CCGACUUGACUGGAGAUGCGCGCAAGUGUGCGCUGUUGGUGACUCUGAGCCGGAGUAUGAUCGAGUCUAUUUGCACAUUGAAGACACUGAAGGAGGCAUUAUGCGGCCUGAAGCUUCACUUAAAAAGCAACGUGCAUCAACGGCUCUGCCUCCUGGAACCUGCGCUGGGAUGGCUCCCGGCACCAGCGAGCAAUCUCUCCCAUCAUAGAUGUCCUAUGAUUGGCAAGAAGAGCAUAGAACCUGCAUAUCCAACCUGG
rnacentral:lncRNA from 1 species